rnacentral:misc_RNA from 1 species
UGGUUCCGGCAUNGAUGAAGAACGCAGCGAAAUGCGAUAAGUAAUGUGAAUUGCAGAAUUCAGUGAAUCAUCGAGUCUUUGAACGCACACUGCGCCCCUUGGUAUUCCGGGGGGCAUGCCCGUUUGAGCGUCAUUUCACCAAUCAAGCCCGGCUUGGUAUUGGGUCCCGGGGGGCACCCGGACCUCAAAAUUGUCGGUUGGAGCGCCUUGAUCUCAGCGUCGUGGUUUAUUCAAAUCGCUCGGAGAGGGGGGUUCCGCGCCGUUAAAAACCCAUCACAGGUUGACCUCGGAUCGGGUAGGGAUACCCGCUGA